rnacentral:rRNA from 1 species
AGGUCAAGCUACAAAGGGCGCAUGGUGAAUGCCUUGGCAUCAGGAGCCGAUGAAGGACGUGAUAAGCUGCGAUAAGCUUCGGGUAGGCGCACAUAGCCUGAGAUCCGAAGAUCUCCGAAUGAGGAAACUCACAUGGGAAACCCCAUGUAUCAUUAAGUGAAUACAUAGCUUAAUGAAGGUAACCCAGGGAACUGAAACAUCUAAGUACCUGGAGGAAGAGAAAGAAAAAUCGAUUUUCUUAGUAGCGGCGAGCGAAAGGGAAAGAGCCCAAACCGGAAACUUGUUUCCGGGGUUGUGGACAUAACAUAAAAGUGGAGGCUAUUGUAACUGAAGAGAACUGGAAAGUUCCACCGUAGAAGGUAAUAGUCCUGUAAGUGAAACGAGAAGACCACGAGUUAUGAUCCAGAGUACCACGAGACACGUGAAACCUUGUGGGAAGCAGGGAGGACCACCUCCCAAGGCUAAAUACUACCUGAUGACCGAUAGUGAAGCAGUACCGUGAGGGAAAGGUGAAAAGAACCCCGGGAGGGGAGUGAAAUAGAACCUGAAACCGUGUGCCUACAACCGCUCAGAGCCCCUUAUGAGGGUGAUGAGGUG